CCUACGGGUGGCAGCAGUGGGGGAUAUUGCACAAUGGGGGCAACCCUGAUGCAGCGACGCCGCGUGGGUGAAGAAGCGCCUCGGCGCGUAAAGCCCUGUCAGCAGGGAAGAAAAUGACGGUAUCUGAAGAAGUAGCCCCGGCUAACUACGUGCCAGCAGCCGCGGUAAUACGGAGGGGGCAAGCGUUAUCCGGAUUUACGGGGUGUAAAGGGGGCGCAGACGGCGAUGCAAGCCAGGAGUGAAAGCCCGGGGCCCAACCCCGGGACUGCUCUUGGUACUGCGUGGCUAGAGUGCAGGAGAGGCAGGCGGAAUUCCUGGUGUAGCGGUGAAAUGCGUAGAGAUCAGGAGGAACACCGGUGGCGAAGGCGGCCUGCUGGACUGCAACUGACGUUGAGGCCCGAAAGCGUGGGGAGCAAACAGGAUUAGAUACCCCAGUAGUC
rnacentral:rRNA from 1 species